rnacentral:rRNA from 1 species
CUCAAUAUGAGAAUGACGGGCGAUAUGUGCACUAAAAUAUUAAAACUUCAACAAAAAAUUUUUAUUUUAAAAUUUACUUUUAAGUUUUAUUAAAGUGUUUUAAAUUAAAACUUUUACAAUAUUUAUUUAAAGAUUGCAUAUAAACCUCAUAUUUAAAUUCUGUCUUGAUUUGUUUUUUAAUUUUUAAUUUUUUAUAAUUUAACAUGUUUUAUUUAUUUGAAACAAUGAUAUGAAAAUUUAUAAUACAAGUUAAAUUUGAACGCGGGUUAUCGAUUAAUUUACACAGCCCCCUAAUUUAAUUUUAGCCGCCAUUUAAAAGAUAUUUCUUUUAAUUAAAUACUUCAUUUCAUUUAUUUAAAA